rnacentral:lncRNA from 1 species
GAGUUAUGAAGGAUUUGGUGCAAGCGGUCUACACUCAUAUCGAGAAGGAGUACCGACCAAAAUCUGGUCGGUAUUACCUUGGAACCUUGACGUUUUUGGCUGGCUUUUCGAAGCCAAAUUAAUGAAGAAUUAUCGAGAUGCUGCACCGACUGAAUUCUGCUUGGUAUUGAUCUCCUGAAGCUAUCCUUGACGCCACACCGAGGUGAGUUCAGC